UCCUGGGUGGCUCAGUAGUAAAGAAUCUGCCUGCCAAGCAGGAGUCUCAGCUUCGAUUCCUGGGUUAGGAA
rnacentral:tRNA from 1 species